UGGGCAAGUAUUACUUGUUUUUAAAAGGAUAAUCUCUUUCAUGCCACAUACAGCCUAUUUAUACUAGUUUUCCAACUCAAGAAUGAAAAGGAAAAACGUCCAAAUAAAUUUCAGGCUUAAUGAGCAAUCAAGAGGAUCAUGAGAAUAAAUUGAGAUUAAUACAAAAACGUUUUCAUCCAUUUAAGGCCAAACGUUUUUGUAAUAAAAAAA
rnacentral:lncRNA from 1 species